rnacentral:rRNA from 1 species
CCCUUAGAUGUUCUGGGCAGCACGCGCGCUACAAUGUCUUCGCAAACGGAUGCAUUCUCGAAGGAGAAUGCCAAUCUUGGAAUCUAUGCCUUGGUCGGGACAGUUGCUUGCAAUUUUUCGACUCGAACCAGGAAUUCCUUGUAAUCGUGAUUCAUCACAUCACGAUGAAUACGUCCCUGCCCUUUGUACACACCGCCCGUCGCUCCUACCGAUCGAAGAGUUAGGUGAAUUGUUUUGAUCGAUAAGAUUUGACUAUGGUCAACUCUCGUUGUGAAAUUCUGUGAAUCUGACUGUUUAGAGGAAGGAAAAGUCGUAACA